rnacentral:rRNA from 1 species
AUUGAACGCUGGCGGCAGGCCUAACACAUGCAAGUCUAGCGAGCGGCGGACGGGUGAGUAAUGUAUGGGGACUGCCCGAUAGAGGGGGAUAACCACUGGAAACGGUGGCUAAUACCGCAUACUAUCGGAUAACCCAUAGGGGAUUAGCUAGUAGGUGGGGUAAAGGCUCACCAAGGCGACGAUCUUUAGCUGGUCUGAGAGGAGGAGCAGCCACACGGGAACUGAGACACGGGCCUGACUCCUACGGAAGGAGCAGUGGGGAAUAUUGCACAAGGGGCGCAAGCCUGAUGCAGCCCUGCCGCGUGUAUGAAGAAGGCCUUAGGGUUGUAAAGUACUUUCAGCGGGGAGGCGUUACCCUCAGAAGAAGCACCGGCUAACUCCGUGCCAGCAGCCGCGGUAAUUC